rnacentral:rRNA from 1 species
AUUGAACGCUGGCGGCAGGCUUAACACAUGCAAGUCGAACGAGUGGCGGACGGGUGAGUAAUUCUUGGGACUCUAGCUUAUGGAGGUGGAUAACUACUGGAAACGGUAGCUAAUACCGCAUACCCUACUAUGAGACCAAUUGGGAUUAGUUAGUUGGUGAGGUAAAGGCUCACCAAGACGACGAUCACUAGCUGGUCUGAGAGGAUGACCAGCCACACUGGAACUGAGCCACGGUCCAUACUCCUACGGGAGGCAGCAGUGGGGAAUAUGGCGCAAUGGGCGCAAGCCUGAUGCAGCCAUGCCGCGUGAGUGAAGAAGGCCUUCGGGUUGUAAAGCUCUUUCGGUAGCGAGGCUUUACUCACAGAAGAAGCACCGGCUAACUCCGUGCCAGCCGCCGCGGUAAUAC